UGCUGCAUGGCUGUCGUCAGCUCGUGUCGUGAGAUGUUGGGUUAAGUCCCGCAACGAGCGCAACCCUUGCCUUUAGUUGCCAGCAGUUCGGCUGGGCACUCUAAAGGGAACUGCCGGUGUUAAACCGGAGGAAGGUGGGGAUGACGUCAAGUCCUCAUGGCCUUUAUGACCAGGGCUACACACGUACUACAAUGGCCGAUACAAAGGGCAGCGACACUGCGAGGUGAAGCCAAUCCCGUAAAAUCGGUCUCAGUCCGGAUUGGAGUCUGCAACUCGACUCCAUGAAGUUGGAAUCGCUAGUAAUCGUGGAUCAGCAUGCCACGGUGAAUACGUUCCCGGGCCUU
rnacentral:rRNA from 1 species